rnacentral:lncRNA from 1 species
GCAGGACCUUGAGAGCGGCAACGCCGACGAUCUUGAUGGGCAUGCCGGUGACCACCAUGUCCUUUAUGGUGAUGUAGCCGGUGCUGAACCACACCACAACCUGGGCGGAGAGAGAGAACAAAGAUCAACUACUGGCCUCAACCCAUAAAUAAAAGAAAAACCAAAUAGAAUUCAAAAGUUUAAGUAUGUGUGCUACUGGAGUUGACUACUACAUAGUGCCAAAACAAACAACUAAUGAGACAACACUCCACACCACCAACUUACCAGUUAGGACCAAGUGGCACUACAAGCUCCAUACAUCCAUCAAUCGAUAUUCUCGCCCUCCACAAGAUCAAACUUCGCGAUAGCUGAGGGUCCAUGCAACUUCCUGGGCACACACACACACAUAGAGCAUGAUUACACAGGAAACUAGAUUUCACUGAAGAAUAGCAUUAGUAUAGUUUGCCUAACUUCAAAUCAAAUUGACCAAUCCUGAUUUCUGAACUAUAGAAUAUCAUGAACUUAACUGAAUUUAACACACACACACACACACAGAGCAUGAUUAACUGGUGUCAUCAACCCACAUAACAAAAUAGAGAAUUUAAAAAUUAAGUAUAAGUGCUACUGACGCAGACUUCUUCAAGUUUUGAUAUGAGCUAUCUAGCACAUGCAAUAUAUAGGAAGAACAAGCAGACCUUACAAGUUAAUAGUGUCGUCAAACACAUCGUCUAUGCCAUAAAGAUCAAGUAAUCGUUAUAGCUCAGAUAUUGAUAUUGAUAUCUACUACUGUUUAGGUACCAUAGUUUGUUUUCUCUUAUUAGGACUUCUACUCAUGUAUAAAAGGAUAGGUGAACAAUUGAGAUUGACUUCAGAAAAUAGAAAGAUCUCUUCUAUUUCUUGAGUCAAUACAUCAUAAGUGCAAGCACACAUGACUUCAGAAAAUAGCAGGACCUUGAGAGCGGCAACGCCGACGAUCUUGAUGGGCAUGCCGGUGACCACCAUGUCCUUUAUGGUCAUGUAGCCGGUGCUGAACCACACCACAACCUGGGCGGAGAGAGAGAACAAAGAUCAACUACCGGCCUCAACCCAUAAAUAAAAGAUAAACUAUAGUAAAAGCACAUGGAAGAAAUAUUCAAUUAUUUGCACAAGGAGAAAAUAUGCCCAUGCAUGUAAGCAGCAAAUGAUUCAGAAAAUACUUUUCCCGUCCGACAAAUUUCUUUGAUCCCAAAUUUGCUUAAGUUCCUUUGUGCCGCAACAAUUUUCCCAGGAUCUCCAGUUACCUACAACAUUGAUUAAAUAAGCAUCAAAGGGCUUCUUCCAGCAUAAAGCAAGGAACACAUAUACCAUUAGGAUGCAGAACUGUUGGAGAUCAAGAGUUUUUACCUCCAGAGUUAAGCUGUUCUCAGAAAUAUCAACAACUUUCGCUCUGAAAACAGUAGCUACAAAUUGCAGGUUGAGAAGAAACAACACAUUAAGAGUAUUGUUGCCACUGUGUAUGGAAGUACCAAUAUACUAAUUCAGUGAUUGCAGAUACAAGUCAACAGCAUAUCUUACAUCAGCACGUUGAUCUGGUUCAACAUUGAGUUUUAUAAGCAUGAGCUCUCUUUCAACCCGAGGCUCCUUAGAUAGAUCUUCAACCUGCAAUUUAUUGGAUUCAAAUACGAUAUAUAUUAACAAACAUUUAUAUGAUCACAGAACAACGUGCAAUAAGAAAAGAAAUCUGCAAGCGAGGAACAUAGCAAUGCUUCGGAUAAAAAGGAAAACAUCACAUCGCACUAUUCAAUUCAUCUAGAUGGUAGGAACGAUAAGCAGAUGACAAACAAUUAUACAAGUUGGUAUGAAGUCAGCUUAGAUUCGUUAGAUAGCUAUUUUCUUUGGAUAUCCUGUAUGUGCAUAAUAGCUAAAGACCAACCCCGGUAUUAAACACAGCAACAGGAAAUAUAAGACAAUUUUGUACAGAUAUUAUGAUACACCAACAAUAUACCUGGCUGUAUAUCCACUGCAAAAACCUGAAAGGAGAAGGACAACAUAUGUUAGUCCACCACAUCCAGCUAAGGCAGUGAUAGGGGUGGGAUUGGAGGAAUGAGGGGGGAGAAGGGGACCUAGAGGGAGUUGACGGCGCCGAGGUGCGGGGUGGCGAUCUCCUUGCGGUUGGAGAGCGCGAGCGAGGCGGCGCGGCGCGAGCGGGCUAGGGCCUGGAAGCGCCGCGCGGGCAGCACCCCGCGUUCCCUUCUCCUCACCUCCUCCCACCACAUCCACUCGGGGCGCACCGCGGUGUAUGCGCUCUGCUCGCCAACACGCCAAGACCAAGCAGACCCUCGCCGAUCCGGGACACGACCUUGCUGAGCUCGACGUCGGAGAUGCGGCCGUCGUCGUUGAUGUCGUAGACAUCAAAGGCAUCACGCAGCUCGGCGUCCAGCUCGCGCUCCCCGCGGCCGUGGCCGUGGAAGGCGGCGAACUCGCCGAGGUCCACGUAGCCGUCGCGGUCGGUGUCGAGCUCGUCCAUCAUGGACGCCACCUCCCGGCCCCCUGCCGACUCGGUGGCCGGCGGCGCGGUGGCGCGCGACACGGCCGCCAGCUCUGAGGGCGAGAUCCUGCCGUCCCCGUCCGUUUCGAAGCCAUCUUCUUCGCCUUCGCCGCCACCGCCGCCUCUCCCUCCGCGGCUGCGGCGCUGGUGCUCAGAAAAUCGGGGCUGUGGGCGGCGCGAGCCCCAGGGACCGCCGGAGAAGCUAGCCCGCGGCCCUCUGCGCCAUGAGCUUCGGUGUACAGGGUGGCGUCGAGAGAGGAGCGCGGACGGUAGGGGAGCGGCGGCGGCCGGCGGGGCUGGCUUGGGUUUCGCGCGGAGCUUCGCAGUGCACUGAGAGGAUAGGAUAAGGAUCGAGUGGGGAGAGGGCAGUGCACUGAGAGGAUAAGGAUCGGGUGGGGAGAGAGGGGAGUGGGUGAGAUUGUGUUUUUUUCAUAACGGGAGUGGGUGAGGUCUUUUUUUAUAACGGAAGUAUGUUUUUCUUUUUCUUUUUUGUACCUUUUCUGUGUCUACCAUGUUUAUUUGUACAAUACUUAGUCAUAUCAUAAGUCCUAUGAAGUUUGCAUUAGAGAAAAGAAACAUUAUGGAAUAUUUGAUUAUAUUUUGACUACUCCCUUCAUUCCUAAUUGUAAAUCUUUUUAAAUUUUCGAAUAUAAAUCACAUAUGGAUCAAAAUUAGUACAUCUACACUCUAAAAAUGUCUAUAUGCAUACGUAUGUAGUGCAUAGAAUUUUUCAAAAAGACAUAUAUUUAGGUACGAAGGAAGUAUACAGACAAUAAAUAUCCCAUAUGUUCUUUACAGAGAAAUUCACCAUGUUGAUUGCUUUGGAUGUAUGAUUUUUGCUAAUUAUGAGCAGGGAAUUUUCUGUGUACGGUUAUUCGUGCGUUGCACGUGCAUGCUUACUAGUCUGAAAAGUAAUGGAUACAUUCGAAGAUCCAAGAAAAUAUGAAAAACUAAAAAUAUUACUUUUCUUAUAUUUUAAGAGAAAAAACUGGCUGAAAGACGGAGGGAAGAAAAUCGGUCUGGUAGGAUCCAUCGUCCAAUGGGCCGUCCAGCAGAGACGAGGAGGUUGUGUUUGCUCGCGAUGCUAACUGGGCCCGUGACCAGCAGAGACGCAGAACACGCGUCGGACGGUGACAAGGAAUAUAAGGCAACCCACCCGACCCGGCCUUCUUUCCCCGUCAAAGAACCCUAGCGAGGGUCGAGAAGGCGCGAGCAAAAUUGCGGAGGGGGUCGACGAUCCGUGCUCCGACAUGCCGCAGGUAUCAACGGCGCGCUUGUGUAGGCGGAGGAGACGUUCCUCGCAACCGGCGAUUGCUGGAUUCGAUCACGACAUCGAGUUGAAAUCGAUUUACUGCGAACCAACCACCGAAGAGGAAGAGGAGGAGGAAGAAGAAGAGGAGGUGGAAGAAGAGGAGGAGGAUGAGGAGGAAGAAGAAGAAGAAGACGAAGACGAGGAGGAGUUUGCUCCUGAAUCCUCCAUGGAGGAGCAGGAGGAAGACUUCGAUCAGCACCGGGAAAACUGGGAGAUCUCAUUCGGCAAAGGCCGGUUUGACUUCGAAGCUCUGAGUGAGUAAUAACGGAUUAAUUCCUGCUUGCCUUUCUUCUUGUCGUCCGGCCGGUCGACUCAACUGAUUUACAAUAUGCAGCGAUGCUGAGCCCGAUGCUCUUCACACACUGCUCGCCGAGCCGCAUCCCAGAAGAAGCCAUCCUUUCCAAGACACUUCAGAUAUACUCCAUCAAAAUCGCCAAGACAAAACACCUCAAGUGGCCACUUCAAGUGUACGGCGUCGUUGCCGCUCGAGACUAUGUGGAUCACAGACGCAAUAUUGUCUUCUUUCGUCGAAGGAUUCACAGCCAAACCCUCACCAAGAAAGUACGUACGGACCUUCUAUUCAUUCAUCAUCAUAUAUAUAUAUAUAUAUAUAUAUAUAAUAUAUAUAUAUAUAUAUAUAUAUAUUCGUUAGUUCGUUUCUUGUUCCGGNNNNNNNNNNNNNNNNNNNNNNNNNNNNNNNNNNNNNNNNNNNNNNNNNNNNNNNNNNNNNNNNNNNNNNNNNNNNNNNNNNNNNNNNNNNNNNNNNNNNAGGAUCCAAUAUGGGCAUCCAGGUCCCGCUAUUGGAUAUUGACCGAGGAGUCUCUCGUGUCAUGUCUACAUAGUUCUCGAACCCGCAGGGUCUGCACACUUAAGGUUCGACGUUGUUUUAUGCGUAUUUGAGUUAUAUGGUUGGUUACCGAAUGUUAUUCGGAGUCCCGGAUGAGAUCACGUACGUCACGAGGGUUUCCGGAAUAGUCCGGAAACGAAGAUUGAUAUAUAGGAUGACCUCAUUUGAUUACCGGAAGGCCGAGAUCAUCGUCGAGCUGUACGUGUGCUGAACGCGGAGGUGCCGUCCGUUCGGUACUAGAUCGUGGGACUGAUCGCGGGAUUGUUCGCGGGGCGGAUCGAGGGACGAGAGGACGUUCCACUACAUCAACCGCGUUCGCUAACGCUUCUGCUGUACGGUCUACGAGGGUACGUAGAUCACUCAUCCCCUCUCGUAGAUGGACAUCACCAUGAUAGGUCUUCGUGCGCGUAGGAAAUUUUUUGUUUCCCAUGCGACGUUCCCCAACAGUGGCAUCAUGAGCUAGGUUCAUGCGUAGAUGUCUUCUCGAGUAGAACACAAAAGUUUUUGUGGGCGGUGAUGUGCGUUUUGCUGCCCUCCUUAGUCUUUUCUUGAUUCCGCGAUAUUGUUGGAUUGAAGCGGCUUGGACCGACAUUACUCGUACGCUUACGAGAGAUUGGUUUCAUUGUUCCAAGUAACCCCCUUUGCUCAAAGAUGACUGGCAAGUGUCGGUUUCUCCAACUUUAGUUGAAUCGGAUUUGACCGAGGAGGUCCUUGGAUGAGGUUAAAUAGCAACUCAUAUAUCUCCGUUGUGGUGUUUGCGUAAGUAAGAUGCGAUCCUACUAGAUACCCAUGGUCACCACGUAAAACAUGCAACAACAAAAUUAGAGGACGUCUAACUUGUUUUUGCAGGGUAUGAUUGUGAUGUGAUAUGGCCAACGAUGUGAUGUGAUAUAUUGGAUGUAUGAGAUGAUCAUGUUGUAAUAGAAAUAUCGACUUGCACGUCGAUGGUACGGCAACCGGCAGGAGCCAUAGGGUUGUCUUUAUACUAACGUUUGUGCUUGCAGAUGCAUUUACUAUUUUGCUAGGAUGUAGCUUUAGUAGUAAUAGCAUGAGUAGCACGACAACCCCGAUGGCAACACGUUGAUGGAUGAUCAUGGUGUGGCGCCGGUGACAAGAAGAUCGUGUCGGUGCUUUGGUGAUGGAGAUCAAGAAGCACGUGAUGAUGGCCAUAUCAUGUCACUUAUGAAUUGCAUGUGAUGUUAAUCCUUUUANNNNNNNNNNNNNNNNNNNNNNNNNNNNNNNNNNNNNNNNNNNNNNNNNNNNNNNNNNNNNNNNNNNNNNNNNNNNNNNNNNNNNNNNNNNNNNNNNNNNGUGGCGUCCAACCGGGACUAAARRGGGUCUUUAGUCCCGGGUCGGAGCCAUGACCCGGGACUAAAGGCCCUUUUUCGGCGGACAAGAAGGCGGGAAGCAGGGGCCUUUAGUCCCAGUGCGUGGCAAGAACCGGGACUAAAGUUUUGCCUAUAUAAACCCCCGCCCCUGCCCGCCAUAUCCCCUGUUUUUUGGUUGUUGAAGUGUGACCAUGCCAUGCUCUUGCCACUCUAGUUCAUGCACAUGACGUGUUCGAUGAAAUGCCCGAGCCACUCUACUUAAGCUUUCUCCUCUCCAAACUCGACCUCCAAGCUUCAUUUUCCUUAAUAUUUGUCUAGGUUUGGCCGUGCACACCAACUGCGAGCACCACCGUGGUGAGCCUCUUGUUCUUAUCUUCUUUUUAAAAUCAAAAAAAUCUUACUUGUAUGAUUUAGAUACAUACUUGUAUAAAUUACUCACUUUCAUUAUUUUUUGUUAUUAUAUAGUGCGAUGGUUUUGGUAUCCGCCUCCGUCGGCCCUCGUCCUGUCUAUGAUUCGGAUGUGGUAUAUAUUAUCUUUUAUAACUAUUUGUUUUAUUUAGUGUUUAUGACAACUAUGACGACCAAUGUGACAUAUAUGUUUUUAAUCUAGGAGGUAUGUGAACCGGAAAUUCCAACCCACAUAAAAAUUCUUGUCGAGAAGUUAAAUUUGGUUGAAAAAGAAAACAAAUAUUUGAAGAAAAAAAUGAAAAUAAUUGAGGAUAAGAAUAUGGAACUGGAGUUGCAUGUCGCCGAUGUCAUCGAUGAUCGCAAGAUGAAGAUCGAUGCGAUGCGGUUGAAGAUGGAUGCAAUGCGCUUGAAGAUGGAUGAAAUGCGCUUGAAGAUUAGGAAUAUUAGAAAAUAUGCCAUUGAUAAAGAGGCUUGGUAUCAUUAUGCUGUUGGGUCAAUUGUUACCUUAGUUGCGAUUUUGAUCGCGUUUGUUGUUGCAUUUAAAUGUUUUACAUAGUUGUAUGUUGUUUUAUGAGAGAACUUUAUGUAUUUAUUUUUUGCAAUAAUAACAUUUGAUCACUACUAUUCUUCGGUUUUAAUGUGAUGAUGAACUUGUAUUAAUUUGGUCAUAUGUUCUGCAAUGAUUUUUUGAACUUAUUUGAACUCCAUACUUUUUGUGUGUUCAAAAUGCACCAUUCAAAGGCACACCACAGAAUUUCAACAAUUUCUGACUUCAUUUGGUAUAUUUCGUGCAUUUACUUAUUUUUUUUGAGCUAGUUGACCCUGAAAUUGAAAAGCACUACAAAUGAACUCUGAAAAUGUUGAAAGUUGGCAUGCUAUCAUCAUUUCACCCACAUAGCAUGUGUUAAAAAGUUGAGAGGGCUACGACAAAAACUGGAUGCACUUCGUAUACAAAACGGACAAUCUCUCUCGAAGUAUCAGGGUUUCGAACGAGAACUCAUCUCUUACAAAGGGAUUUCAUUUUUUUGAACUUAUUUGAACUUCAUACUUUUUGUGUGUUCAAAAUGCACCAUUCAAAGGCACAACACAAAAUUUCAACAAUUUCUGACUUCAUUUGAUAUAUUUCGUGGAUUUACUUAUUUUUUUUGAGCUAGUUGACCCUGAAAUUGAAAAGCACUACAAAUGAACUCUGAAAAUGUUGAAAGUUGGCAUGCUAUCAUCAUUUACCACCANAGUCAUAGUUGGUUUAAAAAAGGUUUAAGUGAGGCGUACGACGAAAACUAAAGUAGUAGCACUUACGUUCGUACNNNNNNNNNNNNNNNNNNNNNNNNNNNNNNNNNNNNNNNNNNNNNNNNNNNNNNNNNNNNNNNNNNNNNNNNNNNNNNNNNNNNNNNNNNNNNNNNNNNNCCGGUACGGACGUAGUCCCAAGUUUUCGUCGUUUUAACCGUCCUACCUACACUACUUUCGCACAUGCUAUGUGGGUGAAAUGAUGAUACCAUGCCAACUUGGAACCUUUUCAGAGUUUUAUUUCUAAAUGCUUUUCAAUUUCAUGGUCUUAUAGCUCAAAAUAAUAAGUAAAUGCAUGAAAAAUAACAAAUGAAGUCCGAAAGGGUUGUAAAUUGAUGAUGUGGCUUUGAAUGGUGCAUUUUGUACAUAAAAAACUAUGGAGUUCAAAUAAUUUCAAAAAAAUGAAAUCUAUUUGUAACAGACGAGUUUCUGUAUGAAACCCUGACACUUCCAAAGAGAUUGUCUGUUUUGUACACGAAGUGCAUCCAGUUUUUGUCGUAACCCUCUCAACUUUCUUGCAUAUGCUAUGUGGAUGAAAUGAUGAUACCAUGCCAACUUGGAACCUUUUAAGAGUUUAUUUUAAAUUAUUUUCAAUUUCAUGGACUUAUAGCUCAAAAUAAUCAGUAAAUGAAUGAAAAAUAACAAAUGAAGUCAGAAAGGGUUGUAAAUUGAUGAUGUGGCUUUGAAUGGUGCAUUUUGAACACAGAAAAACUAUGGAGUUUAAAUAAAUUCAAAAAAAUGAAAUUCAUUUGUAAGAGACGAGUUCUUGUAUGAAACCCUAAUACUUCGAAAGAGAUUGUCCGUUUUGUACACGAAGUGCAUCCAGUUUUUGCCGUAACCCUCUCAACUUUUUCGCGCAUGCUAUGUGGGUGAAAUGAUGAUACCAUGCCAACUUGGAACCUUUUCAGAGUUUAUUUCAAAUGCUUUUCAAUUUCAUGGUCUUAUAGCACAAAAUAAUCAGUAAAUGCAUGAAAAAGAACAAAUAUGGUUAGAAAGGGUUGUAAAAUGAUGAUGUGGCUUUGAAUGGUGCAUUUUGAACACAAAAAACUAUGGAGUUCAAAUAAGUUCAAAAAAUGAAAUCCCUUUGUAACACACGAGUUUCCGUAUGAAGUCGUGAUACUUCCAAAGAGAUUGUUUGUUUUAUACACGAAGUGCAUCCAGUUUUUGCCGUAAUCCUCUCAACUUUCUUGCAUAUGCUAUGUGGAUGAAAUGAUUAUACCAUGCAAAAAUAAAAGAGAGGCGCAAUGCUCACAUGCACGUUGCUUAGCUUCAGGCCAACGUGCAGGUGAGCACUGCGCUUCUCCCUUCAUCGUCUCUACAGUCAGGGCUUAUAAACCGCUGCGAGUGCCUCUCGCUUGGCGAGGUGGGACUAAAAAAUAGCUGCAGAAAGAAUCAACUAAAAAACUCUUUUAUCGAUUCAUGCCACGAACCGGUACUAAAAGGUGCUCGUGGGGCCCAGCCUUAAAACCUGUGCCAAAUAAAAUGCCUUUGUAACACCCUUAGAACUGGUACUAAAGGAAUCAACUAAAAAGCUUUUAUAAACCUCUAGUAUUAUUGAAACUAAAAUUAUAUAGAAUUUUGUUACAAACUUUAAUAGCAAAAAGAAUUAUCAUAAAAGAAAAUAAAUAUGUAAUUAGAAUUUUGUUCAAAACAUUAAAAGCAAAAAAGAAUUAUCAUAAAAAAAAGUAAUUAGAAUUUCGUUACAAACUUUAAUAGCGAAAAGAAUUAUCGUAAAAAUAAAUAAAUAAAUAAUUAGAAACAAAAAAGAAAGCAAAAAAACUGGGAAAAUUAAAAUAAAAGAAUCAACUAAAAAGCUUUUAUAAACCUCUAGUAUUAUUGAAACUAAAAUUAUAUAGAAUUUUGUUACAAACUUUCAUAGCAAAAAGAAUUAUCAUAAACGAAAAUAAAUAAGUAAUUAGAAUUUUGUUCAAAACAUUAAAAGCAAAAAGAAUUAUCAUAAAAUAAAAUAAAUAAGUAAUUAGAAUUUUGUUACAAACUUUAAUAGCAAAAAGAAUUAUCGUAAAAGAAAAUAAAUAAGUAACUAGAAACAAAAAAGAAAGCCAAAAACUGGAUUUUUUUUAAAGAAAGUGUCACCUAGAGGGCCACCACGACGUGCAUAUGACUAGAAACCCAUUACUAGGGCCAGGAUGCAGGCCCGCAAUAGGCCCAAUAGGCCCACAAGCACAGAGAGUGAUCUUAGGCCCGUAAGCCUGCAGUAGAGAGGAGCUCGAAGUGGUUGGUUCGGCAGGGCUUAUAAACCACUCCGAGCCCCUCUCGGCUAGCGAGGUGGGACUAAACAUAGCACCGCACCGCGCAAGGCCUUUGGUCCCGGUUGGUGGCACCAACCGGGACUAAAGGGAUGCAUUGGUACCAGUUGGUGUCACCAACCGUGACCAAAGGCGUGUGCUUCUCGUCCUUUGGGCUGCUGAAAAGAAACCUUUGGUCCCGGUUUGUGCCACCAACCGAUACCAAUGACUCUUCUUCCCGCCCGUCGAGCUGCUGAAAAGAGACCUUUGGUCCNNNNNNNNNNNNNNNNNNNNNNNNNNNNNNNNNNNNNNNNNNNNNNNNNNNNNNNNNNNNNNNNNNNNNNNNNNNNNNNNNNNNNNNNNNNNNNNNNNNNACGGCUACGUGGNGUACCCCGCCGCCAGCAAGAAGCUAAAGUGCUGAACCGGCUGCAUCAGGUUUUCUUGAUCUUUUUKUUUGUCGUAGUUAUCUGACUUGGUACAUGCGUGAGAAGCUUACAGUAGCAAGAGUAUGGCGCAGAGAGUUAGACGAAUGUGUGAAGGGAAGGUGGAACAUCUUUUCGUUGAUAGCGAUGCGACCAAAAAUGGAAACUGGUUGAGUCUUGGUUGUAUCCUUUUCCUUUUAUUUUCUUGUAAAGCUUCUUCGAAGUCGAGAGACUUGUGAAAUGUUGACAUCAUGGUAUCCAAUUGGAACUGGCGUUCAUGUCAUGAUACCGAACGGGAGAAGAAUUUGCAGAACAGCCUCAGUGUGCAUACAUUAGCUGAUCAUUGGCCAUUAACUAGUCACUGCUGCCCCUGUAGUGUUUGGGGGAAUUCUUGUGGUUUAUCUCCUAUAGGUUCCAACAUGUCUCAUGGCACUGUAUUACUGUGUUUUUAAUUCCUUGAUGGCUUUUAAACAAGCCUGUUGUGGUUUUGCAAACUUCGGUGUCUUAGGCCCUGUUCGGCAACACUCCACGGAGCGGAACGCGCUUGUAGGGCCAGCCCAAGCCUUCGCGUAUUUGAAAAAAAGUAGUAUGAAAUUUAAAAAAUGUUAACAUAUUUAAUUUUUUGGAAGGAUUUACAAUAAAAUUUCACUAAAAAUGUUGCAAUCAAUUUCCUACAAAGUGAAAAAGAUUCAUAAAUUUGAGAAACAAUCACUAACUUAUUAUUUUUAAUUUUAAAAAGUUCACACAUUUGAAAAAACAGAAAAAAAAUGAAAAUGAGGAACGUAAAAUAAUGAAACAGCUUAAAAAAAAUUAAACCCGAUUUGCAAAAACACGACAAAAAAAAAAAACUGGUCUGAACAUUCACGAAUUUAUAAAUGCGUACAUAAGAAGCAUAAAAGGAAGCAAGUGGACACACUAAGUAACUUGUCCCGGUUGGUUACUUGAACUUGAAGUAAACCUUAAGAGUUGAGUUUGAAUCUCCCGCGUCACACAUUUUUUGAAGAUUACAAAGAAGAAAAAAAUGACAAAGUCACCAAAUAGGAUUUGGGUAUGAAACGUACAUCACGUAGUGCAUAGGCGGUACGUACACAGGCCAUGUAUCAGCAUGGGCGACAUAUUCUUUAAAAAGUCUAUUUCUUUAUUAUGAAGGGGCAUGAAGAAAUAUUUUGUGUUCAUGUGUUUAGGAGUAUUAUACUGAGUAUAUUUGUUUUACAUGUUUGUUGUCUUGAAUUCGUUGCCAAGGUGACCGGGGUUCUCUCCCUUGUCCAAUCGAACGAGUGUGACUUCUCUCAUGUACAGAAGACUUCAAGUUUAUCAGCCUAAAUUAUUUUGUGCACUUGAAUAAGAACGUUCACGUAGAACUUCUCCGGCACGACGUACGCUCGCUAACUCAACCACGCGAACGUAACAUCGUCGCUAUGAUCAUGAGCGGCUUCGCGUUUGUAGUGUAACCAAUGAGCGCAUAACAUCCACUAUUUGAAUCAUGCUCUUUAUCUGAGUCUCCACAUUUUUGCCGAGUGUAUUUUUGUCGCUGCAGCCAAACUCUAUGACUCGUUAUGGUUGUCGACAGUUUGGUUGUGCCUCGAUCCAUAAGGAGACGCCGCGCUCUAUGGCGUCAAGUUGGACAAUAAAACGACAAGUUAUUAAGUACUUCUGUUUCAUUUGGUACGGGUAGCGCAUUGGCAUGUCAACUUAAACUUAUAAAAGCAUCUUUAGUAGAACCAUCAAACUCUCAAACCUUAAAAAUAAUAGUAUUUUUUACAGUUUUCGUCGAAAAAACGACGUAGACUAAAACCCUUAAACCUUUAAACCUGUAAAAAAAAUUAAAGGUCCAACCCUCAAACGCCUUUCCAGCCUGUAGAAGUGAGGGUUGGGAGGAAAAACCCUCCCCCCCCCCCMAMCGCACUCCAUUUCCACAUUCGUGCUGGAAGGUAAGUUGCCUUCCCCGCGCUCGUCUCUUCCCCCGAANNNNNNNNNNNNNNNNNNNNNNNNNNNNNNNNNNNNNNNNNNNNNNNNNNNNNNNNNNNNNNNNNNNNNNNNNNNNNNNNNNNNNNNNNNNNNNNNNNNNUUUACAACCCUUUCGGACUUYRUUWGUUWUUUYUMWUGCAUUUACUUAUUAUUUUGUAGCUAUAAAGACCAUGAAAUUGAAAAGACAUUUGUAAAUAAACUACUGAAAAGGUUCCAAGUUGGCAUGGUAUCAUCAUUUCACCCACAUAGCAUGCGCGAAAAAGUUGAGAGGGUUACGGCAAAAACUGGAUGCACUUCGUGUACAAAACGGACAAUCUCUUUCGAAGUAUUAGGGUUUCAUACAAGAACUCGUCUCUUACAAAUGAAUUUCAUUUUUUUGAAUUUAUUUAAACUCCAUAGUUUUUCUGUGUUCAAAAUGCACCAUUCAAAGCCACAUCAUCAAUUUACAACCCUUUCUGACUUCAUUUGUUAUUUUUCAUUCAUUUACUGAUUAUUUUGAGCUAUAAGUCCAUGAAAUUGAAAAUCAUUUAAAAUGAACUCUGAAAAGGUUCCAAGUUGGCAUGGUAUCAUCAUUUCACCCACAUAGCAUGUGCGAGAAUGUUGAGAGGGUUACGACAAAAACUGGAUGCACUUCAUGUACAAAACGGACAAUCUCUUUCGAAGUAUCAGGGUUUCAUACGGAAACUCGUCUCUUACAAAGGGAUUUCAUUUUUUUGAACUUAUUUGAACUCCAUAGUUUUUCUGUGUUCAAAAUGCCUACCAUUCAAMGCCACAUCAUCAAUUUACAACCCUUUCUGACUUCAUUUGUUAUUUUUCUAUGCAUUUACUGAUUAUUUUGAGCUAUAAGUACAUGAAAUUGAAAAGCAUUUGAAAUGAACUCUGAAAAGGUUCCAAGUUGGCAUGGUAUCAUCAUUUCACCCACAUAGCAUGUGCGAGAAAGUUGAGAUGGUUACGACAAAAACUGGAUGCACUUCGUGUACAAAACGGACAAUCUCUUUCGAAGUAUGAGGGUUCCAUAGGGAAACUCGUCUGUUACAAAGGGAUUUCAUUUUUUUGAACUUAUUUGAACUCCAUAUUUUUUCUGUGUUCAAAAUGCACAAUUCAAAGCCACAUCAUCAAUUUACAACCCUUUCUGACUUCAUUUGUUUAUUUUUCAUGCAUUUAGUGAUUAUUUUAAGCUAUAAGACCAUGAAAUUGAAAAGCAUUUGAAAUAAACUCUGAAAAGGUUCCAAGUUGGCAUGGUAUCAUCAUUUCACCCAUAUAGCAUGUGCGAGAAAGUUGAGAGGAUUACGCCAAAAACUGGAUGCACUUCGUGUACAAAACGGAAAAUCUCUUUCGAAGUAUGAGGGUUUCAUACGGAAACUCGUUUGUUACAAAGGGAUUUCAUUUUUUAACUUAUUUGAACUCCAUAGUUUUUCUGUGUUCAAAAUGCACCAUUCAAAGCCACAUCAUCAAUUUACAACCCUUUCUGACUUUAUUUGUUAUUUUUCAUGCAUUUACUGAUUAUUUUGAGCUAUAAGACCAUGAAAUUGAAAAACAUUUGAAAUGAACUCUGAAAAGGUUCCACGUUGGCAUGAUAUCAUCAUUUCACCCACAUUGCAUGUGCGAGAAAGUUGAGAGGGUUACGGCAAAAACUGGAUGCACUUCGUGUACAAAACGGACAAUAUCUUUCAAAGUAUCAUUGUUUCAUAUGGAAACUCGUCUCUUACAAAGGGAUUUCAUUUUUUGAACUUAUUUGAACUCCAUAGUUUUCCUGUGUUCAAAAUGCACCAUUCAGAGCCACAUCAACAAUUUACAACCCUUUCUGACAUCAUUUGUUAUUUUUUCAUGCAUUUAUUGAUUAUUUUGAGCUAUAAGACCAUAAAAUUGAAAAGCAUUUGAAAUGAACAUUGAAAAGGUUCCAAGUUGGCAUGGUAUCAUCAUUUCACCCACAUAGCACGUGCGAGAAAGUUGACAGGGUUACGGCAAAAACUGGAUGCACUUCAUGUACAAAACGGACAAUCUCUUUCGAAAUAUCAGGGUUUCAUACGGAAACUCGUCUGUUACAAAGGGAUUUCAUUUUUUUGAACUUAUUUGAACUUCAUAGUUUUUCUGUGUUCAAAAUGCACCAUUCAAAGCCACAUCAACAAUUGACAACCCUUUCUGACAUCAUUUGUUAUUUUUCAUGCAUUUACUGAUUUAUUUUGAGCUAUAAGACCAUAAAAUUGAAAAGAAUUUGAAAUGAACUCUGAAAAGGUUCCAAGUUGGCAGUGGUGACAAUUUUAACACAACACAUGAUAUCCAUUACAUCUAGGGCACAACAUUACAUUUGUUCAAGUUCACAACAGUGCACAAAUGAUAAGNNNNNNNNNNNNNNNNNNNNNNNNNNNNNNNNNNNNNNNNNNNNNNNNNNNNNNNNNNNNNNNNNNNNNNNNNNNNNNNNNNNNNNNNNNNNNNNNNNNNUUUUCAAUUUCAUGGUCUUAUAGCUACAAAAUAAUCAAGUAAAUGCAUAAGAAAAAUAACAAAUAAAGUCAGAAAGGUUGUAAAUUGAUGAGUGUGGCUUUGAAUGGUGCAUUUUGAACACAGAAAAACUAUGGAGUUCAAAUAAGUUAAAAAAUGAAAUCCCUUUGUAACAAACGAGUUUCCGUAUGAAACCCUCAUACUUCGAAAGAGAUUUUUCCGUUUUGUACACGAAGUGCAUCCAGUUUUUGGCGUAAUCCUCUCAACUUUCUCGCACAUGCUAUAUGGGUGAAAUGAUGAUACCAUGCCAACUUGGAACCUUUUUCAGAGUUUAUCUUAAUAAGUCGUUUUCCUUUAACUUUAACUUAUAGGUUCGUUUAACUUUAAGUACGUUAAACUAAACUAAACUAAACUUAACUAGGUAAACUAGUACGAAAAAUUAAACGAAAAAAAUUAACGAAAAGUUCGAAAGGUAAACGGGUUAAGGUAAAAAGGUUUAGGUAAAUUUAGAAGUUGUAGGUUNNNNNNNNNNNNNNNNNNNNNNNNNNNNNNNNNNNNNNNNNNNNNNNNNNNNNNNNNNNNNNNNNNNNNNNNNNNNNNNNNNNNNNNNNNNNNNNNNNNNUACAUAAGGUCUCGAUAGGUAAGAUUAGUCAAUGACGUACCCUUUGGAGGGGCGACGAGGUUUGCGCUUUGGGGUGCUCUGUGGCUUAGGAAUCGUCGGUGGAGCGUUCUUGGUGGCACGCUCCCGCUUAGUAUCCGGAGCGGGCGGCGGCAGAGACGGAUGACCCCAAGUCCGGCGACGGUGAUCAAGAUGGACUCGUGUUUGUGCCUGGCAAUGUGCGUGCAUAGUCAUCAGGCUUAUGGUGUAAGUCAUACUGUGAUGGAAGAGGGUACGAUCAUAAGGUCCGAUAGGAAGAUUAGCAUGACGUACCUUUGGGAGGGGCGACCGUUUGCACUUUGGGGUGCUCUGUGGCUUAGGAAUCGUCGGCGAAGCAUUCUUGGUGGCACGCUCCCGCUUUGUAUCCGUGGCAGGCUCAGGCUUUGUAUCCGAGAGCGGGCGGCGGCGGAGCGUUCGUGGUGGCGACCGUCCGUUCCCGGUCUUUUAGUACGUUCCCGGGUACGGGUCCGANNNNNNNNNNNNNNNNNNNNNNNNNNNNNNNNNNNNNNNNNNNNNNNNNNNNNNNNNNNNNNNNNNNNNNNNNNNNNNNNNNNNNNNNNNNNNNNNNNNNUUAUUUUUUUAGUUAAACUUUAUUUGUAACUCUAUUACUUUUGUGUGUUACAAAAUGCACCAUUCAAAGGCACAACACAAAAUUUCAACAAUUUCUGACUUCAUUUGAUAUAUUUCGUGGAUUUACUUAUUUUUUUUGAGCUAGUUGACCCUGAAAUUGAAAAGCACUACAAAUGAACUCUGAAAAUGUUGAAAGUUGGCAUGCUAUCAUCAUUUCACCCACAUAGCAUGUGUUAAAAAGUUGAGAGGGCUACGACAAAAACUGGAUGCACUUCAUGGACAAAACGGACAAUCUCUCUCGAAGUAUCAGGGUUUCGAACGAGAACUCAUCUCUUACAAAGGGAUUUCUAUUUUUUUGAACUUAUUUGAACUCCAUACUUUUUGUGUGUUCAAAAUGCACCAUUCAAAGGCACACCACAAAGUUUCAACAAUUUCUGACUUCAUUUGAUAUAUUUCGUGGAUUUACUUUUUUUUUUUAGUUAGCUAGUUGUACCCUCGAAAUUAGUAAAAACCAAACUACNNNNNNNNNNNNNNNNNNNNNNNNNNNNNNNNNNNNNNNNNNNNNNNNNNNNNNNNNNNNNNNNNNNNNNNNNNNNNNNNNNNNNNNNNNNNNNNNNNNNCCCUAAAACCUCCGUAUAUAUAGGUGGAGGGAGGGGGCCGUUGCCUUGGGGUCCAAGGACCCUCAAGGGGGUCGGCCGAGCCAACGGGGAGGACUCUCCCCCCCCCCCAAACCCGAGUUGGACUAGGUUUGGUGGGAGGGAGUCCUCCUGCCUUCCCACCUCCUCCCUUUUUUUUUCUUUCCUCUUGAUUUUUCUUCUCUUGGCGCAUAGACCACUUGUGGGCUGUCCCACCAGCCCACUAAGGGCUGGUGUGUCUCCCCCAAGGCCUAUGGGCUUCCCCGGGGUGGGUUGCCCCCCCCGGUGAACUCCGGGAACCCAUUCGUCAUUCCCGGUACAUUCCCGGUAACUCCGAAAACCUUCCGGUAACCAAAUGAGGUCAUCCUAUAUAUCAAUCUUCGUUUCCGGACCAUUCCGGAAACCCUCGUGACGUCCUGAUCUCAUCCGGGACUCCGAACAACAUUCGGUAACCAACCAUAUAACUCAAAUACGCAUAAAACAAUGUCGAACCUUAAGUGUGCAGACCCUGCGGGUUCGAGAACUAUGUAGACAUGACCCGAGAGACUCCUCGGUCAAUAUCCAAUAGCGGGACCUGGAUGCCCAUAUUGGAUCCUACAUAUUCUACGAAGAUCUUAUCGUUUGAACCUCAGUGCCAAGGAUUCGUAUAAUCCCGUAUGUCAUUCCCUUUGUCCUUCGGUAUGUUACUUGCCCGAGAUUCGAUCGUCAGUAUCCGCAUACCUAUUUCAAUCUCGUUUACCGGCAAGUCUCUUUACUCGUUCCGUAAUACAAGAUCCCGCAACUUACACUAAGUUACAUUGCUUGCAAGGCUUGUGUGUGAUGUUGUAUUACCGAGUGGGCCCCGAGUUACCUCUCCGUCACACGGAGUGACAAAUCCCAGUCUUGAUCCAUACUAACUCAACCAACACCUUCGGAGAUACCUGUAGAGCAUCUUUAUAGUCACCCAGUUACGUUGUGACGUUUGAUACACACAAAGCAUUCCUCCGGUGUCAGUGAGUUAUAUGAUCUCAUGGUCAUAGGAAUAAAUACUUGACACGCAGAAAACAGUAGCAAAAAAAUGACACGAUCAACAUGCUACGUCUAUUAGUUUGGGUCUAGUCCAUCACGUGAUUCUCCUAAUGACGUGAUCCCGUUAUCAAGUAACAACACUUGCCUAUGGCCAGGAAACCUUGACCAUCUUUGAUCAACGAGCUAGUCAACUAGAGGCUUACCAGGGACAGUGUUUUGUCUAUGUAUCCACACAAGUAUUGUGUUUCCAAUCAAUACAAUUAUAGCAUGGAUAAUAAACGAUUAUCAUGAACUAAGAAAUAUAAUAAUAACUAAUUUAUUAUUGCCUCUAGGGCAUAUUUCCAACAGUCUCCCACUUGCACUAGAGUCAAUAAUMUAGUUCACAUCACCAUGUGAUUCAAACGAAUCCAANNNNNNNNNNNNNNNNNNNNNNNNNNNNNNNNNNNNNNNNNNNNNNNNNNNNNNNNNNNNNNNNNNNNNNNNNNNNNNNNNNNNNNNNNNNNNNNNNNNNCCGGUAACNCGWAAACCUUCCGGUAACCAAAUGAGGUCAUCCUAUAUAUCAAUCUUCGUUUCCGGACCAUUCCGGAAACCCUCGUGACGUCCGUGAUCUCAUCCGGGACUCCGAACAACAUUAGGUAACCAACCAUAUAACUCAAAUACGCAUAAAACAAUGUCGAACCUUAAGUGUGCAGACCCUGCGGGUUCGAGAACUAUGUAGACAUGACCUGAGAGACUCCUCGGUCAAUAUCCAAUAGCGGGACCUGGAUGACCAUAUUGGAUCCUACAUAUUCUACGAAGAUCUUAUCGUUUGAACCUCAGUGCCAAGGAUUCGUAUAAUCCCGUAUGUCAUUCCCUUUGUCCUUCGGUAGUGUUACUUGCCCGACGAUUCGAUCGUCAGUAUCCGCAUACCUAUUCAAUCUCGUUACCGGCAAGUCUCUUUACUCGUUCCGUAAUACAAGAUCCCGCAACUUACACUAAGUUACAUUGCUUGCAAGGCUUGUGUGAGAUGUUGUAUUACCGAGUGGGCCCCGAGUUACCUCUCCGUNNNNNNNNNNNNNNNNNNNNNNNNNNNNNNNNNNNNNNNNNNNNNNNNNNNNNNNNNNNNNNNNNNNNNNNNNNNNNNNNNNNNNNNNNNNNNNNNNNNNCACACAAGUAUUGUGUUUCCAAUCAAUACAAUUAUAGCAUGGAUAAUAAACGAUUAUCAUGAACUAAGAAGUAUAAUAAUAACUAAUUUAUUAUUGCCUCUAGGGCAUAUUUCCAACAGAGUCAUCAAAGACAAUAGAACAACAAGCCAUCAUGGAUGAUACAGAAAACAUACAUAUUAAUGAGGUCAUUAUUAUAUUUUCACAUGUCAUUAUUAUUNAGUUCAUUUGUGCUAUGAUAUCAAAUAUAAAACUGUUUACUCACCUUCAUAAUAUUCUCUCUUUUAUAUGGACUAUUCAUUUCUAAACAAAGCAUGGACGAGGAACUAAUACUAAUAUAUGCUUUGGUUUUCAGGAAAACAUGGACGAGGAAGGCAAGGACAAGCAUGCGGAAAAUAUGUUUAUUGAAGACAUGAUAACGAAAGACGAGGAUGUGAACCCCGAGUCAUCAAAGACAAUAGAACAACAAGCCAUCAUGGAUGAUACAGAAAACAUACAUAUUAAUGAGGUCAUUAUUAUAUUUUCACAUGUCAUUAUUAUUAUGAUUCUGACGGGACAAAACACAACGUCCAUUUGUGCUAUGAUAUCAAAUAUAAAACUGUUUACUCACCUUCAUAAUAUUCUCUCUUUUAUAUGGACUACAUACUGUAUAAUAUUAUAUUAUUGUGUCUUUCAGUUACUAAUCAAGGAAGAAUCAAGUGGAAUAAAUGACAAAGAUGAAGUAGAGAAAAAGUAUAGCACGCAGGCCACUGAUUGCGAAGUGACACGGGCAUGCUUUCUUUUCAAAGUAUCCCAAAUAGUUAUAAUCUAAUUAAAUUAUAUUCUGCAUAGGGAUUACUCUUUGUAAUGUUGCUCUCAGGAAUUAACAAGGCAGGGAACAAGUGAACAAAUGCAGCCUACUCAAGACAUUGAAUUAGCACAAAUGUUCGACAAUGAAGGGGGGGGGGACUAUAGGGGACAACUUGGCAGAUUCAAAUGUACGAGCCGACAAAGAUGAAGAGGAGAAAAAGAAGAGCACACAGUCCACUCAUUCCGAGGUGGCAAAGUCAUCUUUGCUUUUUCAACUAUGUCCUAAAUAAAUAGUUCUAAUGCGAAAGUCAACUUUUCUGAGGAAAUAACCUUCAAGGAAACAAGUGAACAAAUGCAUCAAGUUCAGGACGAGGAAUUAAAACAGACAUCGGGCACCGAAGGGGCAGAAACUAUAGGGGAUAAUCUGGCAGAUUCAAAUGGAAUAGCCGGCAAAGACGAAUUGGAGGAAAAUAAGAGCACGCAGUCCACUGAUUUUGGACUCUCCGAAGUGAGAGAGGUAUCUUUUCAAUUCCAACUAUGUCCCAAACAGUUCUAAUUCUAAUUCUAUUAUAUCUUGCAUACAGAUUAUUCUUUAAUAUGUUGCUCUCAGGAAUUAACAGAAAACGAAACAAGUAAACCAAUGGAGGCAUGUGGGGACGAAGAAUUAGAACAAACGUCCGGCAGGGAACGGGCAGAAAUUAUAGGGGACAAGCUGCCAAUGCCCGCGCAAACAUGGAAGCCUAUUUGAGUGCAUAACAAACCUAAGAAGGCACAAAACUACGUGGUGGCUCCAGAAGGCACGGACAAAUCUUUCUAUGCCCUGGUUUUGCUACAUUUGUUUUCCUCGUUAUUAAUAAAUGUUAUUACUUCCAUCAUGAUAGAUUACGCCUGCACCGGCGAUGAUUGGUCCAUGAUUGAAAAUAUCAUGUCUGAACCAAAUGAUAAAAGAACUUUAGUGAGCAUUGACGACUCAAAUCUCCAAAGAAGACAGUUGGAACGUCUUUUAUUACCCGGAGAAUUUCUUGGCGACGAAGUAAGUAUAUGUAGCUUUAUGACGAGACGAUGCUAUUUGAACGUGAGUUACUAUUUUGUCCUAUAACCAAGGUGUGCACUUCGUAUUACAGAUCAUAGACGCAUACAUACAUUGCAUAAGUGCUAAAGAGCAUCUAAAGAUGAGGACAGGUGGAAGUGUGUUCUUAGAGAAUGCAUGCAUCUCUAAGCUGAUAAAGGAAUUUAAGUUUAUACGGGAUGACACACUAAGAUGGGUGUUAGACAGAGCUACAACUUAUUUGGAACAUGAUAUGGUGAGUCUCAGUUCUUUACAUAUUACUAUGAAUUCAAUCAUGGAUGAAUGUUUCUACAGAUGGGACCUAACCUAACAAAAACUCUAUUUACAGAUAUAUGUUCCAGUAAACAUUAAAGACUUUCAUUGGUACCUAGCAGUUAUAAAUAGCGGGGUGCGACGUAUCCAGGUGCUCGACUCGCUAGGUCCAGGAAUGAACCGCAAAGACCUCACUGCUAUGGUUAGUUAUUAGUCUCAGUGCACCAUCUUUUGAUAAGACGAUUUCUGUUAUUCUUCGGUUGGGAUGCUAAUACGUUGUCAUUUAUUCAUGCAACAGCUCAAAGGACUGGAAAAUGUAUUCCAAUAUGCAUCACUUCAAAUUCAACUAAAAUUUGAUAAGUGGAAAGACGUAAAGAUUACAGCAUGGCCAAGGGAAGAAUGUAUUAAGAGGAGUCUGCAGACAGAUGGGUAUACCUCUUUCGAAUCAAACUUGUUGCUCCCAUCCCCUUUGGGCACCUCCUUCUCCUUCACGUUAUCUGAACCAUUAAUAUUAAUACAUAUGUUGUAAGAAUGUCAUCCUUUUUCGUCUCAGGUUCUAGAAUAACUACAAUUAGUACAGGUGAGAAUUAUAUGUUUACAUAUAUGCGGAAUAUCUUAAACUCUAUUUCUAAAUACAGCAUAUAAAAAGACAGUUUUGGAGAAUAUCUUAAACUCUAUUUCUAUAAAUUCAUUUGUAUAUAAAACACUUAAAAAAUUGAUAAAACAAUAAUGGAUAUAUUUAAUUUCUAUAAUCAUAUAUAGGUCAUCUUGUGGUCUCUGGAUGAUAAAUUUUAUGGAGUACUUCACUAGAAAUGAUUUGUCUGACACUCCUACGCAGGUAAAUUUUAUCCUAAUACUUAUUCUAUGUUGUAUCAUUACUUAACUCUUAUUUCUAUUUUAAUAGGACCAUAUGACAGAUUUUAGAACAAAACUAGCUGUCAUUUUAGUGGACUCGGAAUUGAAUGAUGAUAAUAUAAGAAAUCGAGACAUGGAAGAUGACGAAAACAAUAUAGAUCCCACGGAUUGUAUGAUUCUGGAUGGACCCCCUCAAAAUCUCAAAACAUCGAAUACAUCAUCAGAUGUUGAGCUCAUCUCACAGUCAUAUAUCCUUUCACCGUCUGUCAACCCAAAAAACGAUGACUUAAUAGACGAACUAUGCUUGUUCAUCAGUAUGGUUGAUGAUGACGCUUUACUAGAGUAAGCCAUGUUCUUUUAGUUCAUUUUGUAUUCUAAUAAAUUACUCUGAUGUCAUUAUAAUUGACAAAAUUUUGAUUUUACAGGAGCGAAUGGGUGAAAAGCUCUGAUCCUUACCCUAUCAGCUUAAAGUUGAGACAAAUAAAAAACAUACUAAACAAUGAUGAAUAUAUGGAUAUUGAUUGCUUUAACAUGGCUGUGCGGAUACUAGCGCGCCACGAAGUCCAACUUCUCACAGACAUUCCAUCUCACUACAUGGAUCUAAACUUUUGUGUAAGUUACUAUAAUUGCAUUUUACAUUUUUUUUCCUCAUAGAACUAUUGUUUUCUUAUUUUUAUUUUAGUCCAUGUUCCACUAUGCACGAGACCCAAGUCAUCAUGAAAAUAUGGGCAGCGCUACGAUUAAACUAUUGUUUCAUAGCUGGCUUGACAACAAUGAGUAUCAUAUCUCACAGUGUGAUAUGGUAAGAUUUUAAUUUUUCAUUUCUAACAGUGGUUUAUUUGGUUUAAAUUAAUAUUUAAUGUAUUUAUAAAUGUAUGCAUCAUUGCAGAUUUUAUUGCCUUGGGAUAUUUUUGGACUGUUUCUAUUGUUUGUCUUGGAUCAAGAUAAAAAAGUUAUCUCAAUUUUUGAUCCGAUACCAAUACCUACUUUGGGAAAGAAUAUACUUAAAACCGUGGUCAGUAACCUAAACCUCGCACUUCAAGUUGCAAACCCUGCAUUCAAGGACGAUAUCUCCAAAUGGGAAUGUAUAGUUCCGGUUGUUCCAACAAACUCACACUGGUAUGAAUCUUUUUAAUGCCUUAUAAUAUUAAAUAAUUCAUUCAUUCAACGCACAUUAUGUGUUUAUUUCAUACAUGCAGUGCCUUGUCGGGGUAUUUGGUUUUUAACUACAUGCACUCAUUGUGCGAUGGAAAGCUAUAUUUUCUUGUACCCCACGUGAGUAUUUACACCAUGCUUAUUUGUAUACACAUUGCACAUACAAACUUGUUAUAACAAUGUUGUCUAAUGCAUAUGUAGGACUGUUUUGAACUGAGGAAGCGAAUUUUGGUGCAUAUUUUAAAGUAUGAAGAAAAUGAAUCUCAAAAAAAUAUCCCAUACAUUGAAGGAAGCAUCAUAGAUCGCAUCUAUAGAUGGACUUUCAUUGCUUCAAAAGAUGGACCAUCAAGACGUGCUUAGUCCUGGUUUUUAAAACAUAUUUCUGUAACAAUUAUCGUGUGGUCGUUAAUUUUGUACGAAGACAUGUUUCCGGAUCGUAUGUUACGCACGUUCUCAUAUUGUUUUAAAUAAAAGUCAUAUUGUUUUAUAUAAGACACCGAUAAAUUGCUCGAUAAAAAAACUCAAAUAUGUUUUACUAUAGAUUAUUAUAGGUGUGUUGGAUCACAAAUAUGUCACAAUUUUGAAAAUACAAUUUGAGUGACAUAAUAACAUUUUGUACCCGUCUGAAAAAAAUCAGAAAUUAUUUUAAGGAUCAUCUUCUAUAACUCAACAGUAAUUAGUACUAAGUUAAUGAAGGAUUUAUUAAUUUGAUUUGGGUCAAUCAACAGUAAUUAGUACUAAGUUGUAAGCAGGUAAACUUACCUAGCGUUGACAGCAGGACCGUGAGAGCGGCAACGCCGACGAUCUUUUGUACAUGCCGGUGACCACCAUGUCCUUUAUGGUGAUGUAGCCGGUGCUGAACCACACCACAACCUGGGCGGAGAGAGAGAACAAAGAUCAACUACUGGCCUGAACCCAUAAAUAAAAGAAAAACCAAAUAGAAUUCAAAAGUUAAGUAUGUUUGCUACUGGAGUUGACUACUAUAUAGUGCCAAAACAAACAACUAAUGAGACAACACUCCACACCACCAACUUACCAGUUAGGACCAAGUGGCACUACAAUCUCCAUACAUCCAUCAAUCGAUAUUCUCGCCCUCCACAAGAUAAAACUUAGC